rnacentral:rRNA from 1 species
GUGAGGAAUAUUGGACAAUGGGCGCAAGCCUGAUCCAGCCAUGCCGCGUGCAGGAAGACGCAUCUAUGGUGUGUAAACUGCUUUUGUACGGGAAGAAACACUCCCUCGUGAGGGAGCUUGACGGUACCGUAAGAAUAAGGAUCGGCUAACUCCGUGCCAGCAGCCGCGGUAAUACGGAGGAUCCAAGCGUUAUCCGGAAUCAUUGGGUUUAAAGGGUCCGUAGGCGGUUUAAUAAGUCAGUGGUGAAAGCCCAUCGCUCAACGAUGGAACGGCCAUUGAUACUGUUGAACUUGAAUUACAAGGAAGUAACUAGAAUAUGUAGUGUAGCGGUGAAAUGCUUAGAUAUUACAUGGAAUACCAAUUGCGAAGGCAGGUUACUACUUGUGGAUUGACGCUGAUGGACGAAAGCGUGGGGAGCGAACAGGAUUAGAUACCCCUGUAGUCC